AACACACAGUAGAUAAACUGUGAAAAAUGAGCAGAGUGAUCUAAGACCCAAAAAAGAAAAUGAACUAAGAAAGAACAAGGGAAGGAGGAACAGCUCUUCAGUUAAAGAACAUUUUUCAGGGCAUACCAUAGCUUUCCUACUUGGAGAGGAGGUCUGGUUUGGAGCUCGUGGGAACACAGGAGUGCGUUCCCAGUGAAUCAUUCAGGAAAACUGAAUGCAAAGAUUAAACUACACUCUUCUUCCCAAAACAAAGCAUCUGCUUUUCUAUCACUAUCAAGCUAUACUAGUAAUGGGGUCUUCCUGUGACCUUCCCACAAGACGUGUUUGAACACCUGAAGUUACAUAGAAUCAACUACACAGAAGAAAGAAGGAAUUUAACAUAAGAGCUUUUA